rnacentral:rRNA from 1 species
AACGCCCGGUCCCAUUCCGAACCCGGAAGCUAAGCCUCUCAGCGCCGAUGGUACUGCGCGGGGGACCGCGUGGGAGAGUAGGACGCUGCCGGAC